rnacentral:rRNA from 1 species
ACGGUUACCUUGUUACGACUUAGCCCCAGUCAUCGGUUUUGCCCUAGGGCGCUGCUCGCGCUCACGCACUUCAGGCACUCCCGACUCCCAUGGCUUGACGGGCGGUGUGUACAAGGCCCGGGAACGUAUUCACCGCGCCGUGGCUGAUGCGCGAUUACUAGCGAAUCCAGCUUCAUGGAGUCGGGUUGCAGACUCCAAUCCGAACUGAGACAGGCUUUCGGGUUCCGCUCCCUGUCGCCAGGUGGCUUCCCGCUGUACCUGCCAUUGUAACACGUGUGUCGCCCCGGACGUAAGGGCCGUGCUGAUUUGACGUCAUCCCCGCCUUCCUCGCAGCUUGCGCCGGCAGUCCCGCCAGAGUCCCCAGCUUUGCCUGUUGGCAACUGGCGGUAGGGGUUGCGCUCGUUAUGGCACUUAAGCCGACACCUCACGGCACGAGCUGACGACAACCAUGCAGCACCUCGUCGCAGGUCCGUAGACGGGCAUCCUUUCAGACACCCUUCCUGCAACGUUUGAGCCCGGGUAAAGUUCCUCGCGUAU